AUUUCCUCUAAGACUUCCAAGGAGCAUUCUGAGUCCUGUGGCUUUGCAAUAGGAAUCCGGAAAUUUUUGCAAGUCUUGUGCUACGAGGCUCCCAGGUCUGUGUGAAGAAGCCCAGUGUCUUGGACACGGCCGCGUCGCCAAGCAUCGUUGCUGCUGGAACCUCUGGAACCCAAACCCACGGCCACGUCCUCUCCUGAACCACAGACCACAGACCCACCAGUUUCCUUCCGGCCAUCAGCUAGCCUGCAGAAAUCUUGAGCUGAGUGAAAAUGUGUCAAACCCGAGAUGUUGCAGGUGAAAUGCUUCCAGCCUAGCAAGCAAAAUCUGUUUGCUCAUCAAAAAUACCAGUAGUAUGUUAUUGGAACAGUUGAUUGUUGUAGCAACAUCACUCAAGCUUCACAGGAGCAAAUCUCAGAUGAGAUGUGAAAGAUGACAGGGAGGUAGCAAAAGGGAUCAGAGCCAGGACUUCAGUGAAAUGUCGUUUUCACUGUGUGUGGUCCAUGAUGCGGUGGUGUGAUUCACGGUCUAAAGGAUGUGUGAAAGACCCUGCUGAAAGCAGAGGUUGGAGGAAUAUUUCAUGAUCUUGUGGAAAAGCGC